rnacentral:rRNA from 1 species
GACGAACGCUGGCGGCGUGCCUAAUACAUGCAAGUAGAACGCUGAAGAGAGGAGCUUACUCUUCUUGGAUGAGUUGCGAACGGGUGAGUAACGCGUAGGUAACCUGCCUUGUAGCGGGGGAUAACUAUUGGAAACGAUAGCUAAUACCGCAUAACAAUGGAUGACACAUGUCAUUUAUUUGAAAGGGGCAAUUGCUCCACUACAAGAUGGACCUGCGUCGUAUUAGCUAGUAGGUGAGGUAAUGGCUCACCUAGGCGACGAUACAUAGCCGACCUGAGAGGGUGAUCGGCCACACUGGGACUGAGACACGGCCCAGACUCCUACGGGAGGCAGCAGUAGGGAAUCUUCGGCAAUGGGGGCAACCCUGACCGAGCAACGCCGCGUGAGUGAAGAAGGUUUUCGGAUCGUAAAGCUCUGUUGUAAGUCAAGAACGGGUGUGAGAGUGGAAAGUUCACACUGUGACGGUAGCUUACCAGAAAGGGACGGCUAACUACGUG